GGCAAUGUUGCCCAAUCAGAGCGUGCCAUAGAAGCAACAGAAUCAAGAGCUCCUAUUCCCGAUCAUCAGUACAGCUCAUCAAAACAAAAACAGUGACUCUCAUUUUCAGUGGGUACAAAUAUCGUUAGUGCUGUGACCCUUGUUGUUAGAGAUAUUUCAGCAAAAAAUCAUAUUCUGUACAAUACACAGUCUCACAGUGCUUCAGUUUCAUACAUUUUAGUUUCAUUCACACGAAUGAGGAUUGUGUUAUUGAAUAAAUUUCUAUGUCUUU
rnacentral:misc_RNA from 1 species